UCCUCCCCGGUCAGACAAGCAGUGCCACUCCUGGAGUACGUGUCCCGGAGCUGCAGCAGGAGAACAGCCACCAUUUGUCACCUGGGAUCUGCUCACAACCCUCCAGCUGGGGGAAGCACCUGGCCCUUGAGCCACGAUACCUGGGAACUGUUCAUCCUGGCAGUGAUGUUUCCACAGCAGGAUGGAGGUAUCAAAAGGCACAAAAGGCACGGUCCAUGCUGGGCAGCAGACCGUUAACGUUGCACGUGUGGGACAGAUCACAUCCUGGCUCCUGUGGUUGCUGCCAAGCAUUCAUUGCUGCCGAGGAUCUGACAAAAGACAUGUCUGCAGCCAUGGGGUCAUCUGAGGCUGUGAUAACGUGCAGAGCAUCCCUCAGCAGCCUGCCAAGCCUGCAGAAACCUCAGAUUUACACCAUAUCCACCUUCAGCAGGAGUCAGAUCAUUUGGGAUUUGCACGCAUGGUCCUCAGAAUGGAGGUAUAUACAGGUUUGGUGAAUCAGAUGGAUCCUGAAUAUAUACCUUCAGUAUAUGCAUGCAUAUAUUGCUCAAGUACUUAUAUUUCUAGCUUGAAUUACAGAAUUGUAGGGGUUGAAUGUACGCUUAUCUUGUUAUAAGCAUAGCAUGCACUUAUUCCAAAUAAAUAAUGUGUGUUUUAUUCCCAAGGGAGCACAAUAGCUGGGCAGGGACAGCAGAUUGCAGAUAACAUGCUUAUAAUCAAUUAGCAGGACAAUGCAGUCCUUCGAAGUUUUCUGCAAAGCAUUCAACAAAUAAACAUGCACUGAAACGGAAGGGAAACUAUGGAAGAUAUAAACUGGCAAAUGAGAGUUUUGCUAAGAGAAAAAAGCAGAUGAGAGCACAUUGUUCAAAAAAGUCCCUUUUCAUGGUGAUGCUGAUGGCUUUCUUCCUGGAAAUUUGGCACUGUGGAUGUUUAGAAAGAAGUGUGCCAACAAGAAGUGUGCAGCUCCUAUGCUCAAUGGGUUUCCAUCUGGUGGGGCUCAAAGAAGAACCCCUUGCACUCCACCAAAUGAGUGUCUCUUUGCCUGCUGUGGAAUCCAGGCUCUUUACAGAGCAGGAACAAGGUAGAUAGGAGCCCUGAUGUAAGUCCUGAUGUAGAUUAGCAGUGCUUUACCUCCUCUGAAGUGUAUGUGUUGCUGGGCCUGUCCCUUCCCUCCUUAGGGACAGCCCAGGUGUGAGAUGUCCUGGAGGUUGACGUUCCCAAGCCCUACAGCUCCUGUCACCACUCAUGAUGGAAUGCAUGGAAGGAGAAGAAAUCAUUCUAAUGGAUGCUUGAUCUUGCUGUUGUUCCUUUAGACACCAAACUGUGUCCAGCUGAUGGAGAUAGAAAACAUCUUGUCCAAGCUGGCUUCCAAAAUUUCUCCCUAAGUUCUGCUCUUUGGUGGGGUCUCAGCAGUUACUGCAGAGCACGAGUCCUGUGAAGGUAAGAGAGAGGUAAGAGAGAACAAACAGGGUUUAAGUUCCAGGUCUAUAACAGUGUCACCAGUUUUGUGUAGCUGCAGAAGUAUCUGUGCUUUAUCCUGACUCAAACAGCAUCAGAGAAAGGUCAGCUGGUGGUCAGCAUCGUGCUUCACUGGGUCAGCAGCACAGCUGAAUGUUUCCAGGAGAUGAACAUUUAUACGCCCCAAGGAGCAUUUUGAAGGUAUGCGUUAUCUGUUUGUGAAAUCCACUUUUCCAAAAGCAAAAUAUUUAUGUCUGAAGCUUUAAUUCCCAGUCAUGGCAAUUCACUUCCCUGCAACUCUGCUCCGUGUUGUGAGUGCUCUGAGCGGAGGGGACGCAGCUUGGUGCUUGGGCUGCGCUCCUGGCAGCUGUAAAAACCGAGUCAUAACUUGCACACCAAGUGUUGUGAAAUCACUGGCACUGGAUGAACAAGGAACAGCUGGAUUCCAUCCCUUAAAACACCCCAUUUUGACUGUAAAGCAGUGCUCAUGGUAACGCUAAUGUGAAUUGAAGAUUGUUAGCUAAACAUACAGGGAAGCCAAAUAUGUCUGUGCACUGGGAGGCAUCAAUAGGCACGUGCACAAAGACCCCACUUCACAGACAACCCCUGCAGAGCCACAGGAGCGAUGCAGAGACAUGCUUUGUGCACAGAGACACCCAGCUAAAUGGAUUACCUUUAGCUGCUGAGAAACAUCGCGGCCCUUUGGGAGCUGGUGGAGAGGAAGAGUUGUUGGAGGAGCACCAUCACUGCUGAGCACAUCUGGAUGCUGACACAGAGUAGAAUGAAUGACCUGUUGAUGCCAACAGCAGGCUGCUGUGUGACUCCCAGCUGCUCACUCCCACUGUUUCCCUUGAAGGACCUUUCCUUGUCCUGUGCCAGCAUUGUGCACACACACAACAAAUAUUCCAUAUGGGGUUUUUCUUCCUGCCUGGAAUUUCCACAAGUGUUUUGUUGUUAGAGCUGAUGAGUCUGGGCUUUGAAAUGUGUGCAGGUAUCUUUGGGAUGGCGCGUUGGAUUCGAUCCUACCCUUAUUCCAGUUAAUACCCAAAUUCACAUGAAGUGCAGCAGGAACGAGCUUGUUUUAUGGUGGACAGCCUGGAGACACUGUACUAAACAGUGUGGCUUUCCAAAACUGGAUGUGAUUGACAGCACUGCCGUAGUGUUUUUUUUAGACUGGAAGGCCAAAUAGUCUGUGGAGAAGCCAAAUACAGACACGUUUUCUGUAUAGUCAGCAAAAAAAUGCUUCAAAACCUGCUGAACAGCUGCCAGGCUUUGGGAACUCUGAAUGCAAUACACACACAAUGGGGUCAACUGUCUACCACCAUUAAAGGUGAAGCUCUCUCAGAAUUAACAGAAAUAUUUGAGAUAAUGCCAGCAGAGAAGGUGACCGGCUGUGCUGCAGCUGCUGCAUAGAGCCCCGGGGAACCAGGCUUUCCCAAAGAAGCCCUGGGAGCUUGGCAGUGUUGAUAAAUACCUGGUUACUUUGUCUACUUAUACAGGACUCAGGCAGAUGAGCAAAUUGCUCUGUCUCCAUGAACGUUAGCAGUUUCAAAGCAAGAUGGCUCUGCCCAAUUCCUGUUCCUCCUCGAUCUGCCUGCUACAAGCUUUCUCACACUGGUGUGAGGUGCUGAUGUGGAAGGGGAUAGUGUGGCUUCAGCCCCUCUUGACAUUCGGGAUGCACUUCCCCAGCCUGUUUUUCCAUCCUGCUGUGUGAAAUUAAUUUUGGCAAAAAUCUUGAGAGAAUUAAACUGCAACAGAGCGACCUCCGUGCUCAAUUCAUAUUUGCUGCCUGCCUGAUUUAUGUUGAAAAGAGGCACUUGGGCAUGCCAAUUAUCCUGUCUUUUAUUUGCCUUGUGCAUUGAGCCUUUGGCUACUAGAAUUAAACUGGAAAAUGCAAUUAAAAGCAUUAGCUGUAGCAAACAUACCACGAAAUAUCAUUAUAUGCUUGACAAUGUUCUCCUUCAUAUUGUUAAUCCCCCCAGAUCUACCUGUGCUAUUAGAUUUCAUAUAUGGAUUUUAUUUUUCUCAAUAGACUAAAUUAAUUGGGAUGAGCAAGUUGUGCACCUAAUUGUAUAAAGAGAGAAAAGGAAGAUGUCACCGUACUGCAAAACCUUUUGGUAAACAGACUGAGCUGGAGCUGGAGAGCAAACAUUAUUCAAGCUUCAGAUGUUUGUGGGUACCUUGACAGUGUUCUGCUUGGCUUGGUACAGCUUGGAAGUUAAUGUGUAUGAAUGAAGUCUUUGGGUGAGACGAGAAGUGCUCGGGGUGAGGUAAUGAGUGAGGCUGGCAGUGUCUGCCAGGGCUGAAUGCUGGGCCCCAUCUGCUCCCUUCUCCACAUCCUCCCAGCUGAAGUUCAGCAGAUCUGAGUAGAUCCAUCCUACCACGCACCGAGUUACCUGUAUGGGAGCAUGUGCUUGUGAGAUGCACUGCUGUCAUCCUUCAAGGAGCAAACUUAGAUGAAAGACAAACUUCCCUUGCUCUUCUUUCCCAAGAUAAUACAGACCAUCAAAACAUACCAACAUUCUGACUCAGCGCACAGUUACAGUAAGUUGAAAAGCCAGGAAUACACCAACAUUGAACACAGCUGCCAAAUUCCUGCGGUUAUUUCCCUGUAACACAGUCUGAGGAGAAAAACAAUAAAGAUAAAAUAGGCUGAGAUGAUACUAACCCUGCAAAGACUGCAAGGUCAGGUUACCGGCUUUGCCAGUGAAGAUCCAAGAACACUUAUCUCUCAUACCACUAAGGUGCAUGGCCUUCCUUGUGGUAAGAAUAUACGUGAGUCAUGCAAGUUGCAUGCAAAACAUCUUUAAAAGGCAUCUCUUGAUCUCUGAUAGAAACACUAUUGCAGAGAGAGUUGCUGCUUCCUUGUUGCAAAGACCUGACAGAAGUCCUGCUUACCUUAAGUCUAAACCUUCUCUCUAGCUGUGCAAGGAGUUCCACAGAAAACAGAUAUCUAAGGCUUGAAGAGGUACAUGUGGAAGAGAGAAUCAAGAGGAAUCUAGUCAGGCCCAGCUCAGUGGUGACAUACAAUGCCUUGUGUGCUGACAAACAGGAAGGCUGUCAUCUCUGCAGCAGUAAAACAGAUGGAAUUGGGGAAAAAAAGGCAACUUUUUGGCUAACCAGAGGCUGCCAGGAGUGGUGAUACCUGACUGUGUGCUGUUGGAUUGCAACAUUUCGCCUGCUUCUAUUAGCCCUGGUGGGAAGUAGAAAGGGAUGGAUAAGCCUGGAGACUUUGCCCUGCUGGACUUACUUAACUUAAUGGUUAUUGCUCAAGAUAGAUUAGAACAAAAACAUAAACGAAACUUUCUUCACCCAGGGGAAACAAAACUUCCCUGAACUGAUACAGUUACCCAAGGUUUCUUUGGGGUUACUCUGGAGGAGGGAUGCGGCUCCAUGAGGACUCGGCCACUUGUCUGGGUGUGUGCAAAUGUAGGGGCUGCAGCCAGCUCCCCAUGCCUGGACAGCAGCCCCAGCUCAUCUGUUUAUGAGCAUUUCAGGGAAGCAAUCCUAGGGAUAGGGCUGAGCAGAUAAGCCACAACAGCCUUGUUUUCUUCUGAGUUUUCCUGAUUGUUUUAUUGGUCUCUGGGAAAUCACCAGGUCAGAAUGUUUUGAACACACCUGCCCUGAGCUGCAUUUUGCCUGUUGGGAAGGGUUAUGGUAAAACACCAGUUGGGUUUUGUUGUUCCAAGUACUGCUUGCCCUGUGCUGGUGCCAGGGGCUCCUUCACACGCAGAUUAGAUGAGGUAAUUAUCCAUGUGCGGGCAGAACCUGCCUGAGUUCCUUGUUUUCCUACUGGUCCCUCACAGUGACAAAGCUGAGGAGACCCCAGGUCCCCACGUGCCCCAUGGCUGGGGACAGCUGGCUGCUUUGGUGUGGGGACUCCCAUCAGCUGCAGACUCACAGCUCCUAAAGAAAACAGGCUUUCUCUUGGCUGCAGCAGGCUGUAGCUAAGGUCUCAAUGUGCUGAUACCUUGAUCACCUAAUUUCUUCCUUAACGAUUAGUGAAGUCUCUCCAGCUGCUGUGAGGAGUAGGGUACUUUCAGAGAGCUUCCAAUGCUGCCAAGCUUGGAGCACUUUCAGUGUUGUGGAUAGUCAAGGAGUAAAACAGCAGGAACCAGGAUCCUGGCAGCUGAUGAAUGUGCAUUUAUGCAUUCAAAACUUUCUCAAGCAAAUUGCUGACACUGAGAUGAGCUGCACUGUGCAGGACUGGGCCCAGGUGGGCACAUGCAGAGGAGUGCAAGAACUGCUCCUGAACCAGCCUCAGCUUGCAGAUCCAGCAAGCCAACACCCUCAGAGCUCAUGGAGACCUGGCACUUAUACAAAUGCUGCUGAGAAACUAACAGCGAUACUGGGAGGUGGAAUUCCCCUCUCCAACACGUGGUAAACAUCCUCAGCCUCCCUGUGCACCAGGCCCUGUGCUGCUGGUGGGAGAGCUCAGCACAGCUCACUCCCACUCUUGUUUCUUGUGUUGAUUUUUAAACCUUCUCCUGCAAUGACAGACCCCUGGAUCCUGCGACCACAGCAGUGCUGCUCACAGGAGGGGUUAGGCAUUAACAGGAAAAGCACCUUCUGCCUUAACUUGUUUUUCAGCUGGAAAACAGAGAUUUGACUACAAAUCCUGGUACCGAUAUUAACUUUUAAUGAUUUCUGUGUCCUGACUUGCUUCACAGGCUGGCUGGUUUUGCUUCCAGCUCUGCAAUACUGAGUCACAUAGGGUCAGGCUGAGGCGGACACCUGCAAGUAGAGAGUGACAGAUUGGAGCUGAGUUAACCAAGCUGCCCUUCACUGGUUACAGAGUGAGUAAACAAGCCUGUUGAGGAAGUGUUAGGAGGAAGAGCGUGCAGCUGAGUUUUCUUUGGUGGGUUAACAUGCAAAUAGCAGGUUCCCUGCUCUUCACAGCUCAGGUGAUACUGUUCUGGGCAGGCAGAAGAGAGCAGAGUGGUCUCCGCUGGGGAUAAAGUUGUAUUUCAAAGGAACACCAAGAAGCAAGUUACAAUUAGAAUGUACAUUUGGGUGGCUCCAAAAGCUGGGAUGGGCAGCUGAUGUAAGUAUGAACUUGCAUUUGCCUCAAGGUGACAUGUCUUUUAGUUCUUGCUCAAAUUCAGAAACUCCCUUGGAAAUGCAAUCAGGUGAGAAAAUUACCAGCCCAAAAAUCAGGCUGAUGGCAGUCACUGAAACAGGUGGGCUGAGGCCAAAUUCACGCCAACAGCCUCACCUUAAUUGGAGUGAAAGGAGCACUACAAACCAAGAGUCAGCCUAUAAUCCUUAAGGAAUUGGUUCUAGGUUUGUUACUGUUCACACAUCACACAUAGUGUAUAUAUGCAUGUUUAUACUUAUUAUAAGUGGUUUGUUAGAGCAAAUCAAGACUCCAAUGGAAGAAUGGCAAUGGUUUGGUUCUGUGUUUUGCAAGGAAUCUCAAAGCUCAGAUUAGCAUGAACUCUGCACCUCAUCCGUGUGUAAAGUCAUGACUCAGGGCCUGGGCAGCCACAGGUCUUGGCACAGCUCCUGCUAUAGGGCUGCGUUCCUCCUGUUUGCAAAACACUCUGCACGUGAGUCUUUGUUUUAAACGCUCCCUCUGCUGGCUGCCGUGUGAAUUAUUGCAUGCUAAUUCAACACCUCAGACCGCAUUUCAAUUGCAAAGAAGUUCCUGGGUUAACAGCAAAAGAUCUUUUUCUUUAUUUCUCUACCACGCUCUGAAUCCCGCAGCUCAAUUGCGAUGCACCUACAGUGUUUGUAGGAGAGACCAUUUUCUACUUACACCACCCAUUACCAAUGGCUUAAAUCUCUCAUUACAAAGUGUGUUGCCCUCUUAAGGAGCUCUGCCUCUCCUGCAUCCCCAGGCUGUCUUACUAUAAAGCACAGCAGAUAAUAUUGUAAUUUCUCCCUUAACAAAUGAAGGCAGUGAUGGAAAUAUUUAGUGCUGGCUUGUUUAUAUACAGCAAGAAAAAAAUAAAGUAAUAAUAAUAACGAGUUUUGAUAAAGGGAGAUUUAAAGGGGAGAUUGUAGCAUUUCUAUUUGCUUUUUCUUCUUGUUGAAUAGCUGAUAAACACAAUGAAAUGCUGCAGAAAACCACGGUGGAAAUAUUAAAUUAAUGUGAGGAGUUGAAGGCAGUCCUGGGGUACGGCUGUGAUGUGCUGCCAAAGACUGAACCAGCUCUUAUGAAAGGAAGAAAUACAGCUGGUCUAGUGCCAGAGAGGAAUUAAAAGCCAGCAGAGAGCACGUCCUGCUCCUGGAGACAAAGAAAGGAAUGUGUGGUCCUGCUCCUAGGAGGCUUCUCAGCGCGAGGCGAAGGCAAACAGGCACCAGACCUCUGUCAAGGUGCUGUUAGUGCUCUGCUUGGGUGACUGCAGCAGUUCAGCUGGAAGCAACUCUGAACUUUCCAAAAACCAAGCAGGAGGAAAGGUGAGAAAGCAACUAACACUUACUUCAAGGUUUACACUGAAUUUUAAUCAAGUGUCCUGUGCAGCUACAUACCAAAAGGUCUUUUGACAGCUGUAAAUUUACCUCUUUUUGUAUGCAAUGGGGAACGCAAUGCAUCUUUGCAGCCAUUAUGUAGUAAACCAUGCAGAUGCAGGGCAUAAGCAAUCAGGGUAUAAGACAGAACUGGUUAAUACUGUAACAUCUCAUCCAAGCUGUGCUGCCAUCUUGGAUGUCAGGUCAAGCUGGUGUUGACUUUGUAAAUACAUUCAAUCCAGUUAUAUACUUACUACCACUUCUUGUGCCAAGACUUAAUGCCAAGACUUAAUGUGCUUCAGUGCAUGAAGGAAAUAUACAACCAACUCCAGGAACAGAUAUUCCAGCUCUCCAUUUCAGUUAAAAAAUCAAAUAAAAUACAGCAGUGAAUACAUUACAACUUCAUAGCAGAUAUUUAUAACUUAGCUAUAAACAAAGGCUGAUCUAAAGCUCUGCAGACAGCCCUCAGGUAAUGGAGUUGCCAUAGAAUUGGUAAGAAUAUUAACCAUUUUUUUCCCAGUAUUACAACUACUAUCUUUUAAAGACUGCAAGUUAAUAUAAAUUACAACUUUUCUGACAUAGGGAAGUGGGAAAGCCAGGAGAACCUUAUUUUGAUUUAUUUUGAACAUAUUUUGAUUCUAAGUCCGAAACCAAGUAAGUGGAGCCAUUUGCAUACAGUGAAAUGGACACUGUGCAGUCUCCAUUUCAAGAUGAGUAAUUUAUGAAUGGACAGAACUCUGAUAUCUCUUUUAAGCGUAAAUUGUAUCUACUGAGUUGUGUCUGUGGGGGGAGGAAGGGAAGACAGAUGACUGAAUAUUAAAAAAGAAUAUUGAAUACUUCUGCAGUGUUAAGGGGACAUGCAGGCCCAAGUUCAUUCUGAUCUGAAUUGUCACUUGGCUGCUCUAAUUCCACCGAGCCUUGUAACAAUCUAAUUUGACAAAGAAUCUGGGCCACUGCUGAAACAGCUCUGGCUUGUGACCUCCACAUGAACCUGUGUUCAGAAAUUAGUUCAGCCUGCAUGACUGAGUCUACAUGGAGGCCAUGUCCCAUUAGCAGCUUAAUACAUACUGCAACCUUAACAACCUGGUGUUUUUAGGACUUGGCGAUUGAGUAAAUCCGUUCUCCUAUUUAAGUUAUACAUCAGUGAAAGUGGACUGUUCUGUAUAUAUUUUAAAUCGCAGAGGGCAGAUUGAUUUACUUUUCAGAAAUAAUCCCAUGAUGUUGUUUUUGUUCUGAUUCCCCAGCAGGUAACAGCCCUCAGCUUCCUGCUCUUUCACACAAGGCAGGAUAGAAAUCAGUUCCCUUCCAAGGAGGACGGGCAUCCCAGCAGCGUUGCCUGCAGUGGGGCAGAGUGCUCUGAGCCAGCUGCUACACGAUGAUGGACAGUUAAAAGCUGAGGGGUCUGUUCAGUGCCUGCUAUUCAGCAUUGGACCCCCGUGCCUCACUAAUGUCUGUGAAUCUGGCUUCACAACUCCUUUGUGAGGUAGGAAAUGACUACUCCCAGUGUGGCAGGGGAAGAAAGUGAGGCACGAGGAGAUUAAGCUUUUCUCCUGGGUUCCUACAGGAAGUCAGCAGUAAAGCUGACAAUGAAUUUAAUCCCUAGCUUAGUCACGGGACAGCCAUUCUCUUUGCCUAUUGACUGGGCACAACGUUUUGAUAUAGCCUUCAUUUCUGCAAGCAGCAAACAUCCUGAAGAUAGACACAGUCGUAAGUGGUUUCACUUUGCUAUUCUGCAUCUCUGAAUAUUAAAGAGGGGCUCAGCCCACAGAGAUGUGCUACACAGUGGCUAAAUCAUCUUAGCUACCACUUAAGGUUCAGUCUACAAGACAGAGGAGGUAUAGCAGCAAAGUUCCAAUUUAAUUCUCCAGUGCAGAUUAGAGCCCACUUCUGUUUGCUGUUUCCUUCCUUCCUGGAAGCAUGAAAUACAGUAAAUGCUACUAGAACAAAAGAAAGUCAAUGAACAAAGACUUCUACCAUUAAUUACAAACAAUAGUGCAAACCACACAGCAGAUUAUUUUUAGCACGCUCAGUAUUUUCUGUGAGGAGGUCACAAAACUGAGGCUUUAAAAACUCAGUGUCAUACUCUUAGCCAAGUAAGUCAGCUUUGAAGCUCACACAAUCAACCUAGAUUCUGCAGCUACGUAUUUUAGUCUUCGUAUUUCUAUAUAUGCUAUAAUGUUUUUUAAUUUAAAAUACUGAAAAUAGAUUCUGUUCUGUGCUUUUAUAAAAUAUAAGCCACUAAAAGUCCAUUAAGAUUGAAUUCCAAGGCUGAAUGAUGUGUUUGGCUACGAGACUUGCUUAGCAUUAUCUUUACUGCCCAGAAAAGCAAUUCUUAUUAUUUUUAAUUUAAGAACCAUUUCUCUGCGUGCCUAAAAGCCAACACCUAAAUCCAUUCCUGUAAUUCAAAUGUGCAUCUCUGCUGUAAGAAAUGAGAGGGCUCGUGCUUUUCUUCUCUAUCAACAAGUGCUCAGCACUGCUGCAAAUUAGUUCUCCCUUUUUAUAAGUAUUCAGACGUAGAUGUAGGUGCUUGGCUUUACCUGGCCCCUUUCUAAAGUUGUGGCCUUUAUGCCUAAUUAAGAGAGAAAGCCUGAAAGUUUUAGCUAGUGAAGAAUGUGACAGGAAUGCUGAUCUCCUUGUACAACAUUUGUUUAUAGCUGGCAAAUCAUCUGAAAGGAAGGAAAGAACCUGAAGUCUGAAAAAUACGUUACAAAGGCCUAUUGAGCAGGUAAACACUACAGUUAGUGGUCUGUGGUCUGACCCAGUUGCAGCUGAAUGGAUGAAAUCAUCAUUUGGAAAAGUGCACUUUUUCAUUGAUUGUUCUCUUACAAGAACAGACACCAGAGCUGAGCGCAGUGUCUUCCAGAGAAGCUCUCUCCUCAGAGGUUUUCAUCCAGCCACUUUAUAUAGCUGUUUCUGGUCUGAACUCCUGCAGAGAAAUCAGUAGGCCAAAUCGUGAAUAUCAUACAGCCAUGAAAGCAGUCAUCAAAGUGAUCAAGUGUGACUUCCACUCCAGCAUUCUCCAGCCGCUUGGCGUACAUCACCCCGUCAUCUCUCAGGACGUCGUUCUCACAAGUGAGGAUCCUGAAGAACCUUAGUGUAUUUAACCUCUGCUGACACAGUCUUACAUCACUGAUUUAAAAAGAAUUCGCAAUCAUGGAAAUGAAUUAUGAAUGCUGUUUCCAAAACAUGGCUCCAUCCUGUUGAUCAGUCCCCAAGACAAAGACUUUCAAUGCCUUAUUAAUUUUUCCUCGCUAAUUCAAUACUGCAAGAUUGUCAUGAUAAUUAGUUGUCUGAGCAAGGUUGUCAUGAUAAUUAGUUGCCUGAGCAGGCUAUGUACCUUCUUAUCACCAAUGGUUUAUGGUAAUUCAGAAAAACUAAUAAUAUUUCACUCAGCCAUGAACGAUACUAUUACUUGCCCCAGGCUGCCUUUAAAGUCUUUAGUAGAUUAAAUUCAGAUUAUGUUUAAACUAGAGAUACACAAAAGAAAAUUUCUUAAUUGUGAAAUGCUGCAGGAAGACAUUUUAAAGCUUUGUGUAUUAUAUAUUUAUUGCCCUUCGUUAGUAUUUGGAGGAGAUAAGAACAUAUUUUUCUGUGAUAAGCACUUGAAAAUAGGAAGAUAAGUAAGUUAUGAAUGUAGCUAGCUACCUAGGUAGGCAAACAAAGAAUUUCUCAGCAAAAGGGGUUAAAAGAAAUCACUUAGCUCCUUGUCCUUAAAAUUUGGUCCAUAAGAACUCAAAACUGCACUAAAAUAUGGCAAGCUACUUGACUCAUGCAAUCGACUCGUUUUUCUUCUGUAAAAUGACAAGAUGCUGGUUUUCAAUAGAGAGAGCUACUACUCUGUCUCUGACACUGGCACAUCAUCUUGUGAUGAUGCAGCACAAAGAACCUGUCAACCCAUAUGCACUCCUGAAUUAGGGACUGUUAUAGUGUAAUACAUCACAGACACUGGA